GACAUACUGACAUGAGUUGGAUUCUGUGCACUUUGAGUCACCAAAACAAUAAAAGUAAAAAAAUACUCCAGCUGAAAUCCACUACUACAAAAGUACUACAACACUUUCACACUAAUUAAUUGCGUGGAGUACUACUUUUUUGCUUAUAAAUAAUUAAAAAAAAACACUAAUUAAUUGCAGCCGCCACCGUAAUUAAAAAACCUACUUCACUCUCUCUUCUCCGGCAACCCUAUCCCAACACCAUGGAUUUCACUCCUCCGCCACUCGAAGACGGU
rnacentral:lncRNA from 1 species